GAUGAACGCUGGCGGCGUGCCUAAUACAUGCAAGUCGAGCGAACAGACGAGGAGCUUGCUCCUCUGACGUUAGCGGCGGACGGGUGUGUAACACGUGGAUAAUCUACCUAUAAGUCUGGUAUAACUUCGGGAAACCGGAGCUAAUACCGGAUAAUAUAUUGAACCGCAUGGUUCGAUAGUGAAAGACGGUUUUGCUGUCACUUAUAGAUGGAUCCGCGCCGCAUGAGCUAGUUGGUAAGGUAACGGCUUAUCAAGGCAACGAUGCGAAGACGACGUGAGAGGGUGAUCGGCCACACGGGAGCUGGGACACGGACCAGACUCCUACGAGACGCACCAGAAGGCAAUCUUCCGCAAUGGGCGAAAGCCUGACGGAACAACGCGGCGUGAGUGAUAGAGGUCUUCGGAUCGUAAAACUCUGUUAUGAGGGAAGAACAAAUGUGUAAGGAACUAAGGACGUCGUGACGGUACCUAAUCAGAAAGCAACGGCUAACUACGUG
rnacentral:rRNA from 1 species